GGAACAUCCACGAAGUGUUUUAUGAUGGAAGUGUUUGGAAAAAGAUUUGGGCAAAGGUGGCCAUAAAUAGAAUGUGCUUGGUUUGAUUGGUAAUGUUUUUAGUCAUCCAAGAAAUGGUUACCUUGGAGAUUGAGACAUACAAAAUACUAGUGUUUCUUCUACAAGCAUGGUGGCAGAGCAGAGUGCACCAAAUCCUCAAGGACCGCCUCCAUGGAUGAGGGGUUUCCAAUGGUGGUGGCCUGAGCUGGGGGUGUCACUCCAGGUCCAACCAACCUGCUCUGCCAUACUUGCCUGGAGCAUAACUGCCCCAUCAACAUGAAGGCCCUCCAGUAUCCACCAGGGCUCAGCCAGGAGCUCAGUCAGACCUCUCCUUUUGGACAGAAUUUGGUUUGUUGCUCCAAGAACAAGCCCUCCUACAGCUGCCAGACAUUUGGAACUCAUGUCACUCUUCCCACACCAGCAUCCAGACUAAUCCUUGUAGUUUCCUGUUGAAACUCCAGCUGACCCCUCUUACUACCCACCCCGUCACCUGGGUACUCACCAAACCAACAGAAACAGAACCCAACUCAGUGUGGAGUCAUGUGGCUGUAUGUUCCUGAGUCCCUCUGAUCAUCUUUACUAUACACUAUGUGAAACACGCUGCUUUGCCAUCAUCACUCAUCACAUGCUAUCUUGCUAUUCCUGGAGGGAGAAUGCUGGAAAGAGCAUCUCUUCCAGCCCAACAACUGGUAAAAGCCAGAUCAUCUACAAAACCCCUUCUUUUCCUGAACCCUUGAGAGCCGAGGGCACAUGAUGGCUGACUAGCUGAGGACCUGAGACAGGUGUCCAAUGGAAAGAAGACUUUGGUACAUGUGCACUGCCCUGCCCUAUGGAGAAGAAGGCAGAUGGGGCCAUCAUACAGUGGGCAAGGAGAAUGCCUUAGCCAGCUGCUGGAGAACCUCAGGGAGCCACGGUACAGGGCUUUUCUCCGUGGUCCCCUGGGGUCUUCUCUACUGGCUCCCCAGGCACUCAUGAGAAAGUCUCCUGGGAGGUUCAGGACUGGAGGAAGGAAGGGAAAAAUACCUACCUGGUCCUCUAUAUGGAGCAAGCCAGAAGUCACUGGGAGCAAAGAAAACCUAUCACACCUGAAGUACUGGUAAUAGUCACUGUGGCUGGGAGAAGAGAAAAGAAAAAUGGAGGGCAGGAGACGAUCAUGGGUAGAUAAUCAGGUCUCCCACAGCCAGACAAAGGGCAGGAUCAUUGAGGUAUUGCCCAAGACCCCAAAACCGAGCACCUGCAGACUAAAGAUGGGCCAGGUGAGCACAGUUCCCUUGUUCCCCACCUCCUGAGGUGAGCAAGCCCUGGGUCACAGGCAAUAGAGUCUAUGUCUAGGGUAGGGCAAGAGCAGGAGGGACCCUCUCUGAGGUACUGGUCUGUGUGGAAGACUGACAGCCCCUACCCUGUGUACCAGGAAAUGCUAGAGGAGUUUGACUCUGGUGGUGCACACAAAGUAAUCAUGACAACAAAAUUCAAACCUAGCGGGGCUGGGGUUGUGGCUUGGAGGUAGAGCGUUUGCCUAGCAUGCAUGAGGCACUGGGUUCAAUCCUCAGCACCACAUAAAAUAAAGUGUGAGAUAUAGAUUAUAUAUAUAUAUAUGAGUCAAACCUAGCCCUUGUACCGACUGGACUGAUCCAGCUUACACACUGGCUGCCCAGCAGGAAAGGUCACAUUUUAACACUUAUGUUGGCAUUCAGUAAAAAUUUAUGAGACACUCAGAAAGAAAAAGAACUCAAAAAACAACAAAAAUUUAAAUCAAUCUAAAAAAACUGACUAAGAGAUAACCAUAUAUUGGAUGAACAAGCAUGACCAGAUGGAGAAUUUUAGCAGAGGAAUUAAAAACUAAGAAAGAGCUAAGUGUGGUGGCACACAUCUGCAAUCACAGCUACUGCAGUGGCUGAGGUAGGAAGACUGCGAGUUCAAGGCCAGCCUGGGCAACUUGGCGGGACCCUGUUGAAAAAUAAAAAAUAAAAGGGUUUGGGCUGGGAGCAGUGGCACAGGCCUGUAAUCCUAAUGGCUUGGGAGCCCCAGGCAGCAGGACUACAAGUUCAAAGCCAGCCUCAGCAACUUAAUGAGACCCUGUCUCAAAAUUAAAAAAAUAAAAAGGGCUGUGGAUGUUCUUCAGUGGCUAAGUAUCCUUGGGUUCAAUCCUCAAUACCAUAAAAAAGUUAUUCAGAUAGAAGAUAUAUGCCCUGAGCUGGGGAUGUGGCUCAAGCGGUAACGCGCUUGCCUGGCAUGUGCGCGGCACUAGGUUUGAUCCUCAGCAUCACAUAAAAAUAAAAUAAAGAUGUUGUGUCCACCAAAAACUGAAAAAUAAAUAUUAAAAAAAUUCUCUUCUUCUAUGGGCUGGGGAUGUGGCUCAAGUGGUAGCGCGCUCGCCUGGCAUGCGUGCGGCCCGGGUUCGAUCCUCAGCACCACAUACAAACAAAGAUGUUGUGUCCGCCGAAAACUAAAAAAUAAAUA
rnacentral:lncRNA from 1 species